AGAACGAACGCUGGCGGCAGGCUUAACACAUGCAAGUCGAACGCGUGUAGCAAUACACGAGUGGCGCACGGGUGAGUAACGCGUGGAUAUCUGCCUUUUGGUUCGGAAUAACCCCGGGAAACUGGGGCUAAUACCGGAUGGUUCCUACGGGAUAAAGAUUUAUCGCCAAAAGAUGAGUCCGCGUACGAUUAGCUAGUUGGUGAGGUAAUGGCUCACCAAGGCGACGAUCGUUAGCUGGUCUGAGAGGACGAUCAGCCACACUGGGACUGAGACACGGCCCAGACUCCUACGGGAGGCAGCAGUGGGGAAUAUUGGACAAUGGGGGCAACCCUGAUCCAGCCAUGCCGCGUGAGUGAUGAAGGCCUUCGGGUUGUAAAGCUCUUUUGGCGGGACGAUGAUGACGGUACCGCAGAAUAAGCCCGGCUAACUUCGUGCCAGCAGCCGC
rnacentral:rRNA from 1 species